rnacentral:tRNA from 1 species
AAGAUGCUAGUAUAAUAAAAUACACUGCCUUGUCAAGGCAGGGUUGUAGGUUAAAAUCCUGCGCAUCUUG